UGAAAAAAAAAAAGAAGCCCAGCGGUGCCGACAGUGCUCCAGACUGAGGUUACUGUGGACUCUUUGGGUCACAAGCACCAGCCCCGAGGUUUUAGAGCUGCCUCUCUCUUGAAUAUGGUCUGACGUUUGAACCAUUCAAGUGCAGAAUAUGCAUUCCAAGAUUAAGGUCUAUAUACGUUCCAGUGCUGGAGAAGACCAUACUGAGGCACAACUUGCUGAGACAGUGACUGCUACGAAGCUAUUCGAGCCUUUCAGCUCCUCUUCCAGUGAAGAUGAUUCACUUUUGCUGGGCUUCUCCAUCAUAAUUACUAGGACUGCUUUUGAUUGAUCCAGUGGGUUAAAUUGCUUUUCUGUUCCAUUAGGUCCAGCUGUGCUGUCGAUUUGUUCCCCAAAGCUUCACCCAAGUGUUCUGAUGUUCUGAUUGUCCCCACCACAGAAAUCCUGGGCUUUUGGUUGGGAUGGAUGUCUCGUACCCUUUGUGCGAAAACCUGGAGGAAAGACAGAGGACGGUUUGCUCCAGAGCCCUCUCCUUAUAGGCAAUAUGGACAUGAAACAAUUUGAUCUGUGAGCCAUGGACUCAUUCCCUGCUGCAGACCACAAAAGCAGUUCACACCAUGCAAUCAACUGAAUGCUGACCAAGGUUAAGAAACAGCCUAAGAUCCUUGGGUAAGCCCUUUAGACUUCAAUAUUUGUAGGGAUCCAGGAUGUUUAGACAUAAAAUUCUCACUGAAACGAACAGAAGCUCUGCAGCUAAAUCUUGGAUUUAAGUUUCCUUGAGCUGAAGAUUUGAGAUAACUGAUUUAAUCUCCCCAAGCCUCCACUGAACCAUGUGUACACUGGCUACCAUAAUACACAGGAACAUCACAGAGUAAUUAUGACCAUAAACUUGCUGAUACAUUUGAAGAGAUAUAAAAAGGUAGCAAAUGUGCUAAGGAUUAUUACUCUUUAGCACCGUGACACUCACUCGGAUGGCAGAGUAGGAAAUAAUGUUCAGAAUAUCUGAGGAAUGUUGCCUUGUUUGAAAUUAUCUCUGCUACUAAUGGGAUGACUGUCUAGUGGAGUUGUGGAUGCUGGGAAUUCACAUACUGAUUUUAUAGAGAGAUAAAAGAGUGGAGUUUAUAUGGAAUAAACCCCUUUUGAAUAAAACAAUCUGCAUAAAUGCUUUAAGAAAGCCUAUAAUUAUGAUAAAAAUGUUGCUCAGAGUUAAAAUUAUGAAGCAAUCAAAAUUUAUAAACAGUCUCUCAUCGACUUUUAAUCAUACUUUCUCAUAUACAAACUGUAGAAAACAUAUAGUAGCAAUAUAUAACAAUACACAUUUUAUUUUCAGUAAUUUAGGGUGCCAUCCCAUGCUCUUCAAUCAGACAAAGCUCAGCUCGUCAAGCUCUGCAGGACUACUCUCAAAUGUCAAAAAACAUAUAAAGGCCACACUUGGCUGAUGCUUUAUCCUGCUAGCAGCUGAAUACCUCUGGAGAGGUUCUGUGCUCUGUCUGGACUAGAUCCAAAGCUUUCUGUGCUCCUGUUCCCACAAAGAGUCUCUGGAUCAUGGCUUCUGCUCCUACUGCCUCCUCUGGAGAUGCUCAUGGAGUGUAACACAGGAACUGACCCACACCUACCCUGAAAUUCCCUUGUAGACAUUGCUCUUCAUUUGUGAUUCAUUAAAGAGAAUGCUUAAAUUAUAUGCAUAAUGUAGGACUUGGAUGGCAAGAGAUGUUCAAAGGAAGGAAUAUUUGUAAUGGGAACCUUAGCAAUUUGAAUGGUAACCUACCAUGUCUAUAAGCUCCAUUGUUUCCUUCGAGCUGAACUAGUUGAACACAUUCAGGACACAUCCUGAUAGCAACCUGCCUCUUUCAGCAAGUAGUAAAAUUCACUGGUAUUAUUAUCCCAUGAAAAAUGUUAUCACAGAUAGGGCCAAUUAAUUAAAUGUUUGCUUCUCUAAUUUUUUUUUUUUUAAUGCAGUAUAACUAGAUUAUUUUCUGAAACAGAGUAGCAUGCAGAGUUUUCCACCUGAAUUCCUUAUGAAAAUGAGAUCUUCUAUGGAAUUAACUGGCACAGCACUUACUGGUAGGCUAACUGUUCGACUCUCCUUAAUUAUCAGAGUAAACAGCCUUUUCUGCUAAAACACUGAUUCAGAUACUGCUUUCAGUUAGACAUAUUAAUAAGGAAUAACUGUACUGAGUUUCACACAGUUUACAUCUUUUUAAUGGAGUGUGAAAUAAUGUCCAAAAAUACAGUCUUUCAAUGCUCUCAAGAGGAGAGACUCUUGCACAACUUCCUAUUGAUUCCAACUUCCUCCAGGUCCUUGGAGCUCACCCACCUUUCCCUGACCAAAAGCCCAAAACGGAAGUCCCCAAGAUGGUUGGUGCAAGGAGGAGGACUGGAGAAGGCUCUGUCUGCAGCCUGUGGAGCAGACUCUAGGAGAUGCUCAUCCUUUUAGUUUGUGGAACAACACAUGGCCCUUGUGGGUGUUUCAAGGAAAUAGCGUUGUAUUUUAUGUCAAUGUGCAUGCUGGAAGGGGAAACAUGUUUUGGGCUUGAGAUAGUGACACCUCAGCCUGAUCCACUGCUAGAUGAUUUAGAAGGCAGUUUUUUACCUGGCAGAGAAGCACCGUGCACGUGGUUUGAUGUGCAUUCUCUGACAGCAUUUGGCUGUCAAGUAAUGGUAUUCCUGGAUGUGCUCGUCAUGCUCCUCCCCAUGGCCAAACCCUAGCAUGGUGGGACUUCCCUUUUCAGCCAAAACCAGCCAAACAAACCAACCACCUUCAUGAUUUGGGACUUCGUGAUUUUGUGAGAGGCAGAUUUUAUUUUCAUCUUUUUAUAGCUCAGUUUUCUGAGUCUUUGUUCUUUUAUGGGUUUGCCUACAAAGGGAUGGUUACAAGUUAUUUCUGUGAUGAAUAUGACACUCCAUUUAAAGGACUUAUUUGCUAUGAAAUCUCUAUAUUUAAGUCUCUAAUCACUGAAUACAAAUGUAAAGCCUCAUUUCGUAUCUAUACAUUGGCCUAAAAAUGUGGUUCUGUUUCUCACAACAGCUGGGAUAGAUUACUGUCAUGAGUGCUCUGUGUAGGAUGGAGGAUAAAAAUAUGAUAACAAUACCUAAACAAACGUAAAGCACAAAACCAAACAUUCUGUAUACUUAGAUUGAAAUUAUAUUAAAAACUGGGAGCACGAACUACCAAGCUAGGCUUCUUUCUGUUUUCCAAACUGCAACGUUUGUUUAAAAAAAACCCCUAAAGCAUAAUUGCAAAUUCAAAUUUCCUUCCCAUUCUUACAUUGACAUUUGUGUUUUUCUCUUAACAUCUCCCACAUGUUAAUGCAGCAGCUUCCUAGCCCUCUUGUUAUAUAUCACAUUCAAUGUAACAGUUUAGCAAAUUCUCCAAUUGUGUUGGUGUUCGCUUUCACAGACAUGGAGAGCAAUUUGAUGUGUCCUUUUAAUGAGUCAUUUUCAUGCAAGGAGGAAAACAGUGGUUGGGGAAGUUAUUAAAGCUUUCUGCUCAUUGAUUUUAAGACUCUCUACUGAAUCUAUGUUGCUUAAAACCCAGCUUGUUUUGUUAGAAGGGUUAUUCAAACCACCUUUUCUUCUAAAUCCUAAGUUUGAAGAACUCCAGCUUCCUUUUACUCCUUUGCAGGUGCUGCAAAUUUGUCACUGAACUGACUCUGCCACAGAGCUGUGCAGUGAAAUCCAAGAUUUCUUUAAAAAAGUUUUUAAUACUUCGGUUGCUAAUGAUAACUGUCCAAAUGUGAAAAGGAUGCCAACCCAUCUAUAAAUGGUAAGGCAGAUAUUAAUACAAGUUUAGCAGGGGCAGGAAUUCUCUUCUUUUUUUAGCAGGCAUUGACUCUAAACUAUAAUGGUGACAAUAAAUAUAUAUUUUUGUAA